CGGCUCACCUAGGCGACGAUCCCUAGCUGGUCUGAGAGGAUGACCAGCCACACUGGAACUGAGACNCGGUCCAGACUCCUACGGGAGGCAGCAUG
rnacentral:rRNA from 1 species